UACGGGGGGGGCAAGCGUUGUUCGGAAUUACUGGGCGUAAAGGGCGCGUAGGCGGUUCGAUAAGUCAGCUGUGAAAACCAUGGGCUUAACUCAUGGCCUGCAGUUGAGACUGUCGGGCUGGAGUGUGGGAGAGGAGAGUGGAAUUCCUGGUGUAGCGGUGGAAUGCGCAGAUAUCAGGAGGAACACCGAUGGCGAAGGCAGGUCACUGGGCCGCAACUGACGCUGAGGAGCGAAAGCAUGGGGAGCGAACAGG
rnacentral:rRNA from 1 species